GUGGGGAAUUUUGGACAAUGGGCGCAAGCCUGAUCCAGCAAUGCCGCGUGCAGGAAGAAGGCCUUCGGGUUGUAAACUGCUUUUGUACGGAACGAAACGGUCCUGGCUAAUAUACGGGGCUAAUGACGGUACCGUAAGAAUAAGCACCGGCUAACUACGUGCCAGCAGCCGCGGUAAUACGUAGGGUGCGAGCGUUAAUCGGAAUUACUGGGCGUAAAGCGUGCGCAGGCGGUGCUGUAAGACAGGCGUGAAAUCCCCGGGCUCAACCUGGGAAUUGCGCUUGUGACUGCAGUGCUGGAGUGCGGCAGAGGGGGAUGGAAUUCCGCGUGUAGCAGUGAAAUGCGUAGAUAUGCGGAGGAACACCGAUGGCGAAGGCAAUCCCCUGGGCCUGCACUGACGCUCAUGCACGAAAGCGUGGGGAGCAAACAGGAUUAGAAACCCCAGUAGUCC
rnacentral:rRNA from 1 species